rnacentral:rRNA from 1 species
GACGAACGCUGGCGGCGUGCUUAACACAUGCAAGUCGAACGGAAAGGCCCUGCUUUUGUGGGGUGCUCGAGUGGCGAACGGGUGAGUAACACGUGAGUAACCUGCCCUUGACUUUGGGAUAACUUCAGGAAACUGGGGCUAAUACCGGAUAGGAGCUCCUGCUGCAUGGUGGGGGUUGGAAAGUUUCGGCGGUUGGGGAUGGACUCGGGGCUUAUCAGCUUGUUGGGGGGGUAGUGGCUUACCAAGGCUUUGACGGGUAGCCGGCCUGGGAGGGUGGCCGGCGACAUUGGGACUGAGAUACGGCCCAGAGUCCUACGGGAGGCAGCAGUGGAGAAUAUUGCACAAUGGGCGGAAGCCUGAUGCAGCAACGCCGCGUGCGGGAUGACGGCCUUCGGGGUGUAAACCGCUUUCGCCUGUGACGAAGCGUGAGUGACGGUAAUGGGUAAAGAAGCACCGGCUAACUACGUG